GGAGUCUGGACCGUUUCUCAGUUCCAAUGUGGCCGUUCAACCUCUCAGUUCGGCUAAUGAUCGUAGAUUUGGUAGGCCGUUACCCUGCCAACUGUCUAAUCAUACGCGAGCCCAUCAUACAGCAAUUGCUCUUUGACAUCAGAAACAUGCGAUCCCAAUGUGUCAUGCGGUAUUAGCACAAGUUUCCCUGUGUUAUCCCCCACUGUAUGGCAGGUUGCUCACGCGUUACUCACCCGUCCGCCACUGAUCCGUCCCCGAAGGGACUUCACCGUUCGACUUGAAUGUGUUAUGCACGCCGCCAGCGUUCAUC
rnacentral:rRNA from 1 species